rnacentral:tRNA from 1 species
GGGGGUGUAGCUCAGUUGGGAGAGCAUCUGCUUUGCAAGCAGAAGGUCGCCCGUUCGAAUCGGGUCACCUCCA